AUAUGGUCCUCGAAGGUCUGAGAGAGAAACUACUCAAUCCCUUCAGUUUAUGAAGCCCUUUCAAAACCACAUUCUUUAAUGUCAAUAAUGUUUAUCAUCAACAAAAAAAAUUAGGUCUGUUUCUCAUAGAUCCUA